GUUUUUAGAAUAAUACGUGAAUGCGAUAUCACAAUAAGUUCGGAAUAAUUUUCCCAGAUGCAGAAUUUAAUUCUGUUUCUCUCUGUUCUGAAAUUUAUUGCAAGAAAAUUCCGUAACGCGAGUUAUAUUGAAAGUUGUAUGUGUGCGCCGUAGUACUCGUUGCGCUAGGAAUUGUAGUUUUUUUAGUAUAACACGCGAACGCGGUGUCACAAUAAGUUCGGAAUAAUUAUCCCAGAUGCAGAAUUUAUUUCUGUUUCCCCCUGUUCUGAAUUUUAUUGUAAGAAAAUUCCGUAACGCGAGUUAUGUUGAAAGUUGUGUGUGUGCGCCGUAAUACUCGUUGAGCUAGGAAUCAAGGCACCGUAUGAAGGUAGCGGUAGAAGUGACUUGUGUUCAGGGCACCGUAUGCCGUAAUGCGAGUUAUAUUGAAAGAUGUGUGUGUGCGCUGUAGUACCCAAAUCGCUAGGAAUUGUAGUUUUUUUAGUAUAACACACGAACGCGAUGUCACAAUAGGUUUGGAAUAAUUUUCCCAGAUGCAAAAUUUAUUUCUGUAUUUCCUUUUAUUAAAAGUUAUUGCGGGAAAAUUCCGUAACACGAGCUAUAUUGAAAGUUGUGUGUGUGCGUCGUAAUACUCGCUGCGCUAGGAAUCAGGGCACCGUAUGAGGGUAGCGGUAGAAGUGACUCGUGUUCAGGGCACCGUAUUCCGUAAUGCGAGUUAUAUUGAAAGAUGUGUGUGUGCGCUGUAGUACUCGAUGCGCUAGAAAUUGUAGUUUUUUUUAGUAUAACACAACGCGAUGUUGUGUGUGUGUGCCGUAGUACUCGUAGCGCUAGGAAUUGUAGUUUUUUUAGAAUAAAACGCGGACGCGGUAUCACAAUAAGUUCGGAAUAAUUUUUCCAGAUACAGAAUUUAAUUCUGUAUUUUCCUGUAUUGAAAUUUAUUGCGAGAAAAUUCCGUAACGCGAGCUAUAUUGAAAGUUGUGUGUGUGCGCCGUAGUACUCGUUGCGCUAGGAAUUGUAGUGUUUUUAGAAUAAUACGUGAAUGCGAUAUCACAAUAAGUUCGGAAUAAUUUUCCCAGAUGCAGAAUUUAAUUCUGUUUCUCUCUGUUCUGAAAUUUAUUGCAAGAAAAUUCCGUAACGCGAGUUAUAUUGAAAGUUGUAUGUGUGCGCCGUAGUACUCGUUGCGCUAGGAAUUGUAGUUUUUUUAGUAUAACACGCGAACGCGAUGUCCCAAUAAGUUCGAAAUAAUUUUCCCAGAUGCAGAAUUUAAUUCUGUAUCUCCCUGUAUUGAAACUUAUUGCGAGAAAAUUCCGUAACGCGGGUUAUAUUGAUAGUUGUGUGUAUACACACUUGUACUCGUUGCGCAGUACCGGCGUUAGGGCAUGGCGCAGUUGGGCGACCGCCUAGGGGCGCCGACUUGCACUUGGUCAGUUUUUAUGUAUGGGUUUGAAUUGCAGUUAGGGGGCGCCGUAGAAAUCUCACCCAGGGCGCUGGUAGUGCUAAAACCUGCACUGCAUAAAAUAUAAUACAUAAACCAUAAAUAUAUGAGCCGUUUAUUUUGAAAGUGACCUAACUCCGUUUUUCAAUUUUUUUACCGGUUACCAUGGUUACAUGUACAACUUCAUGUUAUUUAUCAGUGACACACGUCAGAUUGCUUAUAUUCAGAGAAAAUACGGUAUAUUUUUUACACAUAAGUUUUCCGAAUUAAUGGAAUAACUGAGACGUGUAGUUUGAAAGUGGCCUAACUCCAUUUAUAGUUACAUCAAGAUAUUUACUAUUGAUAAUGUCGGAAAGCAGCGAUGACGAAAUUAUUGCACCCAUGAGGACAAACAGAAGAAGACCACUUAGUUCAGAUAGUGAAGAAGAAAUAGUAAUUAAUAAUUUAAAAAAAAAGCGUAUAAGAAAAAGAGUUAUAGAACAAUAUUCCUCGUCAGAGGAUGAAGAUUCAAAUAACAAUGGAGAAAAGAUUGAUGCACCAUAUAUCCAAAAACUGCGAAAGAUUAAACGGAAUUCAGGAAAAAGAUAUUGCACUCAAACAGGAAGUAUUGUUCAUGAAAAAAAAAAUUCGUAAACAAAGAUUGUGGUUGUCGUAAUGCGUGCACAAAAAAUUUUAAUGAAGAAGAAAGAAACAAUAUUUUUGAGAAGUUUUGGGGUUUGGCAGAUUUUAACAAACAAAAUGUAUUACUUCACGAAGCUGUCUGUGAAACGAAGACGUUUUUUUUUCAAUUUGAAACAUCUUAAAUUAUGUUGAAUGGAUUUGGGCAUCUUCAAAUUUUAUAAUGACUCUGGCUGUUAAUUUUGAAAGUGGCCCAACUCCAUUCUUGAUAAGGAAACGCACGUUAUUUACUUAACAAUUGCCACUAUUUUAACUGGAACUUUAAAUUUAACAUCCUUAGAUACGCUUAAGUAGUAUGACUCCUUAGUAUCUUAUACGUAUAUUUUUAAAUUCAUUGAAACGCAAAACUUUCAAUAUCUCGAUUUGACGAUAAAUGGAGUUAGGCCACUUUCAAAAUAAGCGGCUCAUAUAAAGUUUCAUAUUUGUUUUUAUGAAAUUAAUAUAAUAACUUAUAUAAUUAUUUAUUUCAAUUUUACGAUGCGUAGUGUUAUAAAUGUAUCACUAAGGUAUACAGUAAACUUUUACGAAGACUCAAUCUUAUUAUAUCCCAGAGCCAAUAAAUUCUUUUCGUAUGCCGUGAAAUAUUGAAAGUAAAAGUCAAUUUCUUAUAUGUGUAUUUCAACAUUGUGAAUUUUUAGUUUCGUCUUCUCAACUACGUGUUUAUCAGUACGUUUGGGUAUAAACAACUUUUUUUGUUUGACCGACCCGGCUACGCGCAGCGCACACGGCAGUUGUUUCACCGCGUGGUCCGCGAGCGUGUCUCUCUAAUCGCCACGCGUUUUGAGGUUUUAAUUGGAUUAAUCGUCGUGUAUUCUUUCGUCCAUCGGCAAAAUAAUCGCAAUGAGCAUGUGUACCUGUUUUGUUUAAUGAUUUAUCGUGGUUAGAGUCUUCUUAAGUGAGAAAUAAGUGACCGUUAAUGCCUGCGGGAGUUUUCAGUUGAUAGACUAUAUUACAGGAUAGAAAAUCUUCUCAUCAAUGCACAGGUAGGCGGAUAAUUAAAAUUUUUUGCGGAAAAUUAAGGCGGUUUAACUUAAAUUGAGUAUUCAAUUUGAGGGAUAUUAAUAUUGUAGAUUACAAACACAUGGUGGCAUUUUUAUCAGAAUUCUUCUUAGUCGCGUUUCUGAAAAUAACAUGCUUGAUUUAAUUAUAACAAGCACGGUUUUUAAAAUUAUCUGACGAUUAUUAAAAUGACAAUAUUCAUGUGGUCGACCACGCUUACUUUGCCGUCGGUCGUCGGUUCGGUCAUGUUUUCGAUGAUCACGUAAACAUUUUUUAUCGAAUGGCAUCAUGAAAUGAAUAAUUUUUUGUGGAAGUAAAAUCUUGAACGGUGAAUAGUUUUUCGUUUUCGCAGCCUCAGUAUAUCUUAAUAUUUACAAAGAAAUAGUUAUUUUUAUCGUCUUUAACCACUGUGUUGCUACGCACCGUCGCUUGCCGUCGGUUGAUUUACGUGUAGAUGUUUUCCGCCGGAUAUUCCAUUAAUUUAUGAUGAUGCUACACCCGUCGGUUACCUUAUACAGUUGAUGCUAUCAUCAAUUGAUAAUUAUAUAUUCACAAUAUAUUAAAAUGUAAGUGUUUUAUUUUUGGGCUAAAAUCUCUGAUUUUAUAUUAAAAUAUUGUUAUUAAUCUGUAAAUUUCCCUCUUCAUAUUGUGAAUAUUAACUCCCUUUGCAGUUUCUAAAAUUUUCUUUUUGUAACACCCUGUAUAUUAGUUUUCCGAACAGCACGUAGAAAAUUACCUUUAGUUGUGAGUUUUGAGUGUUUUCUGUUUUGAACAUGAAAUUUUCUUUCUAAAACACUCUGUUCAUAUGUUUUCCUUUGUGUCCGUGAAAAUUUUACUUUAGCUGUUGUUUUUAGGAUUUUCCCAUUUGCACUUUAAAUUUUUUUUCUGGAACACCCUGUAUAUUAGUUUCCCUGAUCGUCGAGUGAAAACGAGCGGCGUUUGUAGUAUUGAGUUUUUUGUUUGCACUUUAAAUUUACCUUUUGUAACACCCUGUAUAUUUGUUUCCAUUUUCAAUCACCUAGAAAAUUGGCUAUUUACUAAUUUCAUUAUUUCGGUAGGACAUUAUGAAGUAGUAUUUGUUGGCAUGUGCGCGACUAUGCAGGUCGUAAGUCUUGUUUCAAUAUGGCGACCUGUAUUUUGUUGACUUGUAAAAUCUAAACUUGUAUUUUAUUGUUAAUAAAUAAAUAGUAAGAUA